UCGCAACAGAACCCGAGACCACUGGAAACUUGCAGGUUUUAUUGCAAACUGGAAAUUCAAUCCAGGUUCAUCAAAGGAGUCCCCUGGGAUUUCAACCUUUUCCGCUGCUCACGUUCCUAUUAAAAGACAACAAAGAGGAUUUUGAUUGCUAUUCUUUCCUUGAGUAGAGAGUUCAAGCUUGAGAGGUAUGGGUGAGAUGCGCACGUGACCCCACUCCUCUUCCAGCUUCAUGAUGGUAUUCCUCAUCAGAACCAUAAGGGGAAAACUUCAUUUUGUGUCAUUGGGGAAGAUGCCAACAAGACUUAGGAAACUUCUGAGGACUUGCAGAGGCAAAACCUGUUCUCAGAGUGUGUGGAAGAUGACAGAUUGACAGCCCU
rnacentral:lncRNA from 1 species